GCCCACAUGAAGUUGGAGUUGCUAGUAAUCGCGGAUCAGCAUGCCGCGGUGAAUACGUUCCCGGGCCUUGUACACACCGCCCGUCACACCAUGGGAGUUGGGAGCGCCCGAAGCCGGUGAGGUAACCGAGAGGAGCCAGCCGUCGAAGGUGAGACCAAUGACUGGGGUGAAGUCGUAACAAGGUAUC
rnacentral:rRNA from 1 species